CGCGGGGACCCCGGGUGGCCCCGCGGUGCGAGCUCACGACUUCCUCCCGGUUCCCGGCCUGCGGCAAAGCCGUGCGCACCGCGGCGCUGUGGCCGUGGGGGCUCACGGGCCACGUAGCGGUGCUCAGGGGUAUCUCAGCUCCCCACCCCCGUCUGUCUGUCUGUCUGUCUUCCGAGACAGGGUUUCUCUGCCUCGUAACUCAGAGAUCCGCCCGCCUCGGCCUCCCGAGUGCUGGGGUCCCAGGCGCGCGCCGCUGCGCCCCGCCCCCACACCGGGCUUUCACACGCGUCUUUUUAAAAAAUAAUAAUAACCCUUAACAGUUUGCCUGCGGGUCCGGGUCGGGGGUGGCUGGGGAGAGGCGCAGGCUUCAGGCACCCACCCGCCGGCUCACAACCGCCCGUGCAGUCCCAGGGCCCCACGCCCUCUGCUGGCCCCGCAGGCACGCACAGGCAGGCGCGAAGGGAUUCGCCGGGGCUGCCUGGGAGCCUGACAAGGGAGUCCAGUCAGUGGAAGCCACGCAAAGGUGGAAGGGCGCGACCAACUCCAGAGUUGUCUGCUAAUCUGCUUGUUACGACACGCAUGUGCACGCAUGCACACACACACUAAAUACUUUCAUUUCUUUUAUCUUUUUGUGUUUUUGAGGCAGGGAUUCUCCGUGUGGCUCAUCACAGGUAUUUUUCAGAGGCCUGCUGAAUUAUGAUUUCCAUAGGCAUUUAGAUACAGUCAGAAGCCUAAGGCUGCGUGGGCCUGGAUGACGUCAGCGGGAGGCCUCAUGUGGCCCUCCAGUGUUCUCCAGGGUGAAAUGUAAGCCCCAGAAACUGGAGCGGCCAUCCUUUUGUCACAGACCUCUAGGGACCUCGGGGCGGACAGACCAGCCGUAUUUAACUUCGCCUCAGUGGCUUUCUUGUGCUGCGGCUGGGUGGUGGUCUUCUGUGGCCUUGCCCUUUGCCUGGACCAUGUCAGGAGAACUCCGGGCUGAGACUGCACACCCUGGCAAAGACCGUGGGCCCUUUCCCCUGCCUCCUCGGGGACUUCAGCACGGUGGCAUGCCCAUGUCUGCAACCCCAGCUGGGCCUCUGUGGCAGCAUCAAUGGCUUCUCGCUCCCACCAGACUGCAACUCCUCAACUGGCCAUGGCCACUCCCCCACUGGGGGGAGGGGGAGAAGAGAAACAAAGAAACCAACAAAACCUAAACAAAACCGAAAACCCUGUCAGCAGAAGGCUCGAACUGAGUUUCUCCAGAUGUUUUUUAAUAUUUGUUUAGUGUAUGUGUGUGUGAGAGAGAGGGAGAGAGUGAGAGCAUGCACAUUUAAGAAGGGCAGAGACAGCUCGAGGGGGGUCAGUUCUCUUUCCAUCCUGUGGGCUCUGGGAUCAAAGCCUGGGUAUCAAGCGCAUCACCUACUGAGCUGUCUCACUGCCCAGGAUAGUUCACUGGCUUUGUUCUGUAUUUUUUUUUAAGCAGGGUCCCGUGUAUCCCACCGUGGCCUCGAACUUUCUGUGUAGCGUGUGGCAAAGGAUGGCCUCGAGUGACCCUCCCACCUCCACCUCCCAGGGCUGCCUUGGUCUUGCAGGUUUAUGUUGUACUGGACACCAGAGCCAGGCCUUCCUGAAGGCCAGACAAGCAGGCUUCGGACCUAGCUGCAGCCCAAAGGGUUGUGCCUGGCAGUGAAUGUGGAGGAGCUCUUCCCAGCCUCCUCUUCUCCUUGAGCCCUAGUUACACCGGGAUGCAGUGACUGUGAGUGCCACAGGAGGGAGAGCUAGCAAAGGCGGGCAGUGCGGUUAUCUGAAAAUCUCUCGGGAAGCACACCCCCACCCCAGGGUACUGUACAGAGCACAGAGCGCCUGUAAAGGACAUUCUUUUUAGACAAAACUAGCAGGGCUUGAUUUCAGAAGGGUGAUUCCUGAGGCUGGGGUCCAGGAAACUGUGCCCCAUGUGGUUCUGACUCCCUGGACUCCCCAACACAGGUGUUCAUGCUUCCUCAUCCUGGUGGCCACUGUGCACCACAAGUUCAUCACAGGGCGAGGAAGGACUGCCCACCCCCACCCGCCCUGGAGGCGGGGAGAGACGUCCAGUCCGCUCUGUGUGUCAGAGGCCUGGGAGCGAUCGUCUUCCUGAUUGAUGAAACGAUAACUCCGGUACCAGCCCCUCCCAUUGCUGGACUGGGCACUAUACACGGAAGUGAGAUGGAAAAACUCACUCCCAGAUACAAACACAGAAGAACCCGGCUUCUGCAUGGACACACCUCCCGGAAAAGCCUGGAUGUACCUCAGUUCUUUGUGUCCUGACGUAGGGGACUGUGGGUGUGGGUUCCCAGAGUGAGUGUGCAUAGCUCAGGCCAUGACUGGUGUACAUCUUCCAGACCCCAGUCUCAAAUAGGGCUCACCUCGGCCAACACAGAACUUGCUCGGUCCCUAAAGCCCUCCCUCCCUCACCGUGUUCCUCUAGUGCCUGGUGCUGUCACUCAGCACACAGCAGGUUCUCAGUACCUGCUUAGCAAUGCCUGGCUGUCAACAGAGCCAAGAACAAAGGCGGAGGGGUCAUGCAGAGAAGCUGAGGCUCGGCACCAUGAAGAGAGCCUACUGGUGAAGGUGCAGCCCGCUUGCAGCUAGGGACCCCAGCAGUUUCGGCGAUGCCGGCACCAUGGGACGACCACCAAGGAGGGCAGCAGCGGUGCCGGGGAGCCAGCCGGGGCCGGAAGACCAGCGGUGAGUGCUGCAGAGGGAGGAGCUGGAGCAGGGCCUUUGGUGGCGCCCAGAACAUAGUGUGUGCUUCCCCACCGGUGGGCACGGGCUUGUCUACACUGCUGGGGUUUGGUUUUGCCUGAUUCAGACUGUGGCUGUGCCCUGGCUCUUCCCUCUAGAAGGCGGCAUUUGAUUGCAUUUUGAUUUUUAACAGGAGCUCAUAACCUUGAACUUUUUAAAAGAGAUUUUGGAUUUUUAAAGAGAUUGACACAGCCUAGAGUCGUCAGAGGGGAAGGAGCCUCAGCUGAGGAAAUGCCCCCAAGAGAUCCAGCUGUAAGGCAUUUUUCAGUUAGUGAUCAGUGGGGUUCAGCCCAUGGUGGGUGGUCCAUCCCUGGGCUGGUGGUCCUGGGUUCUACAAGAAAGCAGGCUGAGCAAGCCACGAGGAGCAAGGCAGUAAGCAGCACCAUCCAUGGCCUCUGCCUCAGCUCCUGCUCCAAGUUCCUGCCCUGAUUAAAUUCCUGUCCCGACUUCCUUCAGUAAUGAACAGCAGUGUGGAAUUGUGAGCUGAAUAAACCCUUUCCUCCCCAGCUUGCUUUUUAGUCAUGGUGUUGGUCACAGCAAUUGAAAACCUGACUAGGACAAGCUGGUAACUUCACAGUGGGGUACGGCUGUGACAGGCCGACCAUGUGUUUGGGGAGGACUGUGGGACUUCGGGCUAGGAGAGCAAGUGAGUGUUGAGAGCUCAACAACACUCUCAACACUGGAAGUGGGGGCGUGGAAGGUAGGAAUGUGGGGGCAGUGGAGAAGAUGGCCAUCUGGCGUGGGAAGCUUCAGAGGGAAGGUUAAAGACUGUCAGGGCCGUUUGCUAUCUUGAUUCGAGAUUCUGUGGUUCAGCUGGGGCUGAAGAGUCAGCGUGAUGAACGAGACAGCAGAACUGCUAAGGUGAAACCUUCGAGUUCCUGGAUAGUGGAUGCUGGUCAGCUGGAGCUAAGACAGCAGUGAUUGGGACGAGACCAGCUGGGCUGGAGAGAUGGCUCAGAGGUUAAGAGCACUGGCUGCUCUUCCAAAGGUUGGGCAUGGCAGCACACACUUGUCAUCUUAGCACAUGGAGGUGGAGGCAGAAGGAUCAAGGAUCAGAGCCGGCCUGGAGACCCUGUGUCAAAAGACCAAAGCUGCUGCCUCUGGCUCCAGCUCUGGCUCACACAGCACUACACGGUAGCGGUGACAGGACACGCAGCUCUGAAGGACACAGCAUUUGCUCAGGCAGGAAUGCACCAGGAUGGAGAGCACGCUCUACGGAUGCCGG